UCUCUCUGUUCCCUCUCUCUCUCUGUUCCCUCGCUCUCUCUCUGUUCCCUCCCUCUCUCUCUGUUCCCUCUCUUCAUUUUGACUAUAUUUUUGUUUAGUGAGGCUCAUCUAGUUGGAUGUCUGCCAUUAUCCAUGAUGUUACGGCAGGUCAGGGAAGAAAUCAAUAGCCGUAACAUCAAUACAACAUUUACAUUUUCUACUACGCACCAAACACUGUUGACAGGGUAAAAUCAUAGCGUCCGAUCACACAGGCUGAGUGUUGGGUCACAAAGGGUUUCCUUUGAACCAGUUAAAACAGACAGAACAGAUGAAGCAACACUGAGUACUGAGCAGGUAGAAUGUCUGUCUGAGUACUGAGCAGGAAGAAUGCCUGUCUGUCUGAGUACUGAGCAGGUAGAAUGUCUGUCUGUCUGAGUACUGAGCAGGUAGAAUGCCUGUCUGUCUGAGUACUGAGCAGGUAGAAUGUCUGUCUGUCUGAGUACUGAGCAGGUAGAAUGUAUGUCUGUCUGAGUACUGAGCAGGUAGAAUGUCUGUCUGUCUCACCUGUCUGUCUGAGUACUGAGCAGGUAGACAGGUAGAAUGUCUGUAUGUCUGAGUACUGAGCAGGUAGAAUGUCUGUCUGUCUCACCUGUCUGUCUGAUUACUGAGCAGGUAGACAGGUAGAAUGUCUGUCUGUCUGAGUACUGAGCAGGUAGACAGGUAGAAUGUCUGUCUGUCUGAGUACUGAGCAGGUAGAAUGUCUGUCUGUCUGAGUACUGAGCAGGUAUAAUGUCUGUCUGUCUCACCUGUCUGUCUGAGUACUGAGCAGGUAGACAGGUAGAAUGUCUGUCUGUCUCACCUGUCUGUCUGAGUACUGAGCUGUAGAUGGGUAGAAUGUCUGUCUGUCUCACCUGUCUGUCUGAGUACUGAGCAGGUAGACAGUUAGAAUGUCUGUCUGUCUGAUUGGACCAACACCUGUCAUUUGAUUCCUUGACUAAAAUGACAAAAAUCACAACAUUAUAUGACAGAUUCAACAUGUCUUUCAUUUGGUUCAGCUGUAAAGUAAUUAACAUUCACAAUGAACCAAAUGUGUUUUUUAUAGCUUUGUUUAGUCUCCAUAUGUUAAGAAAAGCACAGCCAACCAUUCCCUUGUUUUAACUAAGAAUACUGCACUAACAUGGAGGCCAUCAAACUGCUGUCAGCUUUCAGUUCAAGUUCUGAAGUCUUUUCAAGGGGAGAAUGUUGUACACUAGAGAGAAACAACCACUAGAUGUCUACGUUUAUAGGACUAUGUUUUGUUCUUUUAAAGUUAGAAUUUUAAGUGCAUAAAAUCUCUCAUAUUAAUUAUUUUUCAAAAGAAAGUGCCAACUUGUGCAAUGUGAUAUAUCGUUGUAUCUCUAAUACUCACGACAAUGUGAUAUAAAACAAUUAUUCGAGUUAUAUUAUAGUUUUAUGUCAUUUUGUUUGCCUUAUAGGCCCUAUAUGAAUUAAUUAUUGAAAAAUGGUGUGUAAUUUAUGUUUUUAUUUCAGUAAAAAAAAGUGAAUAAAUGGAUGAUGUGAUUUCUGGUAUCUCUAGAAAGUGCUCCUAGAAUAAUUGCUUUAGAUCAGUGGUGUCCAACCCUCCUCCUGGAGAGAUACCCUCCUCCUGGAGAGAUACCCUCCUCCUGGAGAGAUACCCUCCUCCUGGAGAGAUUCCCUCUUCCUGGAGAGAUACCCUCCUCCUGGAGAGAUACCCUGCUGCAGGAUUUUAUUCCAACCCUGCUCCUACACACCAGACUACUAACCAGCUGGUCCCCAAGACCUUGAUUAUCUUGAAUCAGGUGUGUUAGAGCAGGGCUGGAACAGAAGCCUGCAGGAGGCUAAAUCUCUCCAGGAGUUAGGUUGGUCACCCCCUGCAGUAGGUUUUACUACUUUACUAGCCAGGUUGCCAGGUUGGUUUGUACUCCGUCUGCUAUUAUAAAACAGAGGGGUUAGCUGAAACAGAACAGAUCUGGCAACAUGGCUAGUCGAUAACCUCAUGUCCAACAGAAAAUAUCCCUCCCCUCCCCCAGUCCCGCCCCACCAGAGCCCUAAUGCACAGUAGUAGAUUUACCAUAUGUUACAUAGACGAUGAUACAGUACUUGGAAAAGCCAAGAAUCCAUCGUACUAGUAAAUGUUGGGUAAGAUAUCUUCACAUAGCCCCGAGCCAGUUUCCACUGUAGAAGCAGAAACAAUGACAGACAUCUAACUGUGCCCUAACAACGAUGCUUUCUAAGGAUGCAUCCCAAAUGGCACCAUAUACCCUAUAGAGUACACUACUUUUGACCAGUCCCCAUAGAGCUCUGUUCAAAAGUAGGGAAUAGGGUGCCAUGACAAAAUUGCUAUAUAACAGAGAUGCUAUCUAACGGAGAUGCUAUCUAACAGAAAUGCUAUCUAACAGUGAUGCCCUAACAGAGAUGCUAUCUAACAGAGAUGCUCUAACAGAGAUGCUAUCUAACAGAGAUGCUAUCUAACAGAGAUGCCCUAACAUAGAUGCCCUAACAGAGAUGCUAUAUAACAGAGAUGCUAUCUAACAGAGAUGCUAUCUAACAGAGAUGCCCUAACAUAGAUGCUAUCUAACAGAGAUGCUAUCUAACAGAGAUGCUAGCUAACAGAGAUGCUAUCUAACAGAGAUGCUAUCUAACAGAGAUGCUCUAACAGAGAUGCUCUAACAGAGAUGCUAUCUAACAGAGAUGCUAUCUAACAGAGAUGCCCUAACAUAGAUGCCCUAACAGAGAUGCUAUCUAACAGAGAUGCUAUCUAACAGAGAUGCCCUAACAUAGAUGCUAUCUAACAGAGAUGCUAUCUAACAGAGAUGCUAGCUAACAGAGAUGCUAUCUAACAGAGAUGCUAGCUAACAGAGAUGCUAGCUAACAGAGAUGCUAUCUAACAGAGAUGCUAGCUAACAGAGAUGCUAUCUAACAGAGAUGCUAGCUAACAGAGAUGCUAUCUAACAGAGAUGCUAUCUAACAGAGUUGCUAUCUAACAGAGAUGCUAUCUAACAGAGAUGCCCUAACAGAGAUGUCCUAACAGUGUCUUCCAGCGUCCCACUAGUCUCAUGCAGCAGUGAUGAAUCAGGCAUGUAUUCUCUUUCCUCCUUCAGUGUGUGACUUCUCAUCUCUCUGGGCCCAUCCCAAAUGGCACCCAAUUCCCUAUAGGGCUCUGGUCAAAAGUAGCGCACUAUAUAGGGAUUAGGAUACCAUUGGGGAUGCAGCCUCUUUGCCUGUGAGUGGGGAUUCCCAGUGUUAGAGACACCGGCAAGACAGAAACAUGACGGGCGGUAGCCUGGGAGCCAAACUGAAUAUUGUUCUGAAUAUUGUUCUGAAUAUCACUGUGAAUAUCACUCUAAAUAUCACUGUGAAUAGCACUCUAAAUAUCACUGUGAACAUCACUCUAAAUAUCACUGUGAAUAUCACUCUAAAUAUCACUGAAUAUCACUGAAUACCAUUGAAUAUCACUGAAUAUCACUGAAUAUCACUUUGAAUAUCACUGUGAAUAUCACUGUGAAUAUCACUGUGAAUAUCACUGAAUAUCACUGUGAAUAUCACUGAAUAUCACUGAAUAUCACUGAAUAUCACUGAAUAUCACUUUGAAUAUCACUGUGAAUAUCACUGUGAAUAUCACUGGGAAUAUCACUGAAUAUCACUGUGAAUAUCACUGAAUAUCACUGAAUAUCACUGAAUAUCACUUUGAAUAUCACUGAAUAUCACUGAAUAUCACUGAAUAUCACUGUGAAUAUCACUGUGAAUAUCAGUGAAUAUCACUUUGAAUAUCACUGAAUAUCACUUUGAAUAUCACUGUGAAUAUCACAGGGAAACAGAGAUAUAUAUCCAAUGUGUUUUCCAGGCUGUUAUUGUAGUACCACACCAUUGCACUGGGGAUGUGGAUCUGUUGAAUGUGAGGGACAUUUCACUGUUAUUGUCUGACAAACUCUAAGAUAACAUUUAGAUGAAAUCAUUUAAUUUAGAUUUGAAUCAGUUGUUCUAUUGAUGUCCUGCGUGUGUUAUUGAAAGACGUAGAAGGUUUGACAGAACGACAUCAUGGUGGGAGAAGACUGUAUAGUUAGUCAGCAUUUGGUUUAUUUACAUGUAUUUAUAUUUUCCAAUUCAACGUGCACAGUUUUGAGAAGCUAACUGACAUAAAAUGGUGAGGAAACAGACAGAACAGUCAUAAUACCUGUGACUAGCAGCUAGCUACAUGUGCAUACUGUAUAAACAACAGACCAUAUAUGAUAUUACAAUAUUGGUAUUUUGCGUUGGAGACAGCCAACAGUGUUGUUUAAGUUUUAGGUUUGCAUCUCAAAUGGCACCCUAUUCCCUAUAUAGUGCACUACUUUGACCAGUGCUCCAUGGGUCCUGUUCAAAAGUAGGGCACUAUAAAGGUAAUAGGGUGCCAUUUGAGAUCCAGGUCCAGCCUCAGUACCAGAGACCCAGUUCUAUCCUCAGUAACAGAGACCCAGUUCUAUCCUCAGUACCAGAGACCCAGUUCUAGUCUCAGUACCAGAGACCCAGUUCUAGUCUCAGUAACAGAGACCCAGUUCUAGUCUCAGUACCAGAGACCCAGUUCUUAUCCUCAGUACCAGAGACCCAGUUCUAUUCUCAGUACCGGAGACCCAGUUAUAUCCCCAGUACCAGAGACCUAGUUCUAUCUUCAGUACCAGGGACCCAGUUCUAGCCUCAGUACCAGAGACCCAGUUCUAUCCUCAGUACCAGAGACCCAGUUCUAGUCUCAGUACCAGAGACCCAGUUCUAGCCUCAGUACCAGAGACCCAGUUAUAUCCUCAGUACCAGAGACCCAGUUCUAGUCUCAGUACCAGGGACCCAGUUCUAUCCUCAGUACCAGAGACCCAGUUAUAUCCUCAGUACCAGAGACCCAGUUCUAUCCUCAGUACCAGAGACCCAGUUUUAUCCCCAGUACCAGAUACCCAGUUCUAUCCUCAGUACCAGGGACCCAGUUCUAGUCUCAGUACCAGAGACCCAGUUCUAUCCUCAGUACCAGAGACCCAGUUCUAUCCUCAAUACCAGAGACCCAGUUCUAGCCUCAGUACCAGGGACCCAGUUCUAUCCUCAGUACCAGAGACCCAGUUCUAGUCUCAGUACCAGAGACCCAGUUCUAGUCUCAGUACCAGAGACCCAGUUCUAUCCUCAGUACCAGAGACCCAGUUCUAUCCUCAGUACCAGAGACCCAGUUCUAUCUUCAGUACCAGAGACCCAGUUCUAGCCUCAGUACCAGAGACCCAGUUCUAGUCUCAGUACCAGAGACCCAGUUCUAUCCUCAGUACCGGAGACCCAGUUCUAUCCUCAGUA